rnacentral:rRNA from 1 species
UACGAAGGGGGCUAGCGUUGUUCGGAAUUACUGGGCGUAAAGCGCGUGUAGGCGGGUCUUUAAGUCAGGGGUGAAAUGCCAAGGCUCAACCUUGGAACUGCCUUUGAUACUGGAGACCUUGAGUCCGGGAGAGGUGAGUGGAAUUCCCAGUGUAGAGGUGAAAUUCGUAGAUAUUGGGAAGAACACCAGUGGCGAAGGCGGCUCACUGGCCCGUAACUGACGCUGAGGUGCGAAAGCGUGGGGAGCAAACAGG